rnacentral:lncRNA from 1 species
GACCACCUCGAUGAUGGCGGUGAAGUACCUGUCGGACAACCCCAAAGCUCUCGGACAGAUCAGGGUACACAUAACUUCUGCAACCGAGCUCAAUUCCACAGCCAAAAAAAAAACAAUUAGUCCUGUAAUCCAUGAGCUUAGGGAUGGUCUGCUGGCUGUUGCAGAAAGAGCACCUUGACAUCAGGAAGGCUAAGUCACCGGAGGAUCCCCUUGACUGGAACGACUACAAGUCCAUGACCUUCACCAAAGCUGUAAGUCCAUGACCCAGCACCAGCAAGCAGUCAGAGUAGAAUCGUAUCGUGGACACUGAGACACUAAUUUUAUUAUUCAUCUAAUAUGCAGGUCAUUUAUGAGACUCUAAGGCUAGCUACAGUAGUCAACGGGCUGCUGAGGAAAACUACCCAUGACGUAGAAAUGAAUGGUGAGGAUUCCAUGCUUCUACUCUGUUGGUAGGCAGCAUGUUUAUGUAGAAUCUCAAGCUAGUUCUAAUGCACAAUGUUUGUGUGUGGUUCCUCCAGGGUAUGUUAUUCCAAAAGGCUGGAGAAUUUAUGUCUACACAAGGGAGAUAAACUACGACCCGUUCCUGUACCCGGAACCCAUGGUUUUCAACCCAUGGAGAUGGAUGGUAAGGAAUAGGACAAGCACAUGCAUGUCCUAGAUUAAUACUCCCUCCGUUUCUUUUUAUUAGUCGCUGGAUAGUGUAAAAUUGCACUAUCCAGCGACUAAUAAAAAGAAACGGAGGGAGUAUUGAAUAGCCACCAAGAUCCUGUCGCAAAAUUUCUAAUUAACCAGACAAUGCUUGCCGACGAUAGGAGACGAACCUGGAAUCACAUCCGCACUUCAUGCUGUUCGGAGGAGGUGCCCGCAUGUGCCCAGGGAAGGAGGUAGGAACAG